GUGUUACAAUGGGGGGUACGAGAGGGCCGCUACCACGCGAGUGGAUGCCAAUCCCCAAAACCUCUCUCAGUUCGGACUGGAGUCUGCAACCCGACUCCACGAAGCUGGAUUCGCUAGUAAUCGCGCAUCAGCCACGGCGCGGUGAAUACGUUCCCGGGCCUUGUACACACCGCCCGUCAAGCCAUGGGAGGCCGGGGGUACCUGAAGUGCGUAACCGCGAGGAGCGCCCUAGGGUAAAACUGGUGACUGGGGCUAAGUCGUAACAAGGUAUC
rnacentral:rRNA from 1 species